AAGUAAUCCAAGUUAGCAGUGUAAUUAAGUAAUCUAAGUAGUGUAACUCAGCAGUAUAAUUAAGUAAUCCAAGUAAGCAGUGUUAUGAAGUAAUCUAAGUAAGUAGUGUAACAAAGCAGUGUCGAUAAGUAAUCCAAGUAAGCAGUGUAUUUAAGUAGUGUAACUAAACCGCGUAAUUGAGUAAUCUAAGUAAGCAGUGUAAUUAAGUAAUCUAAGUAGUGUAACUAAGCAGUGUAAUUAAGUAAUCUAAGUAAGCAGUGUAACUAAGUAAUCCAAGUUAGCAGUGUAAUUAAGUAAUCUAAGUAGUGUAACUCAGCAGUAUAAUUAAGUAAUCCAAGUAAGCAGUGUUAUGAAGUAAUGUAAUUAAGCAUAAUGUAGACAGGUGGUGUGUAGACGGGUUGUGUCGUACUUGUGUUGUUGCGUACCUGGGGAAGUUGUCACCUUCUUGUCGCAGCUCCAAGUUGACGAUGUCACUGUUGUUGUCAUUAGGGGAUGUCCUGUGACCACACACACACAAACAUCAACAGUGUGCAAGAAAGGUCAGACACACACACAUACACACACGUACUUGUCAGUGUUCAUGAUGUUAGCGAUGAUUCCGACGAGUAUGCGACCGUGUGUGUGUGUGUGUGUGUGUGUGUGUGUGUGUGUUUCCGUGAGUGUCAACAGGUUUGUCUGCAUUACAGAGGCCGGCUGCUCUCUGAUUGGUGCAAACUCACCUCCUCCAUGACUUGUCAAGGUUGGUGUUUGUGUUAAAGGGUGAGAGGUGAGCAGGAGCCUACCCCAGCUGCCGCUAGAAGACAGUGUAAGAACCCACACAGGCGGCAGGAAAACAUGCGUCACCUUUGAAGUCGUGCGUAGACUUAAUCUCUAAUCAUCUCUGACAUAUUUGAGCAGAGGACAAAUGUUUUUAGGACGACGGACAGGUCAAGACCCUCCUCUGUCGGCCAUCCUGCUGAACUUCUCCUCCAGAGCACGCUCGCUGAUGGCGGGCAGGCCGUGGUCCAGAGGGCAGCCGUCCACCAGGCUGUUUGUGGGCGUGGGCGGCACCCGAGACUCCUCGUCUUCGCGCGCCCUCAGGAAGUCUUUAACGAGGGGGAGCAGCUUCUUGCGGGACGCCAAGGCGUUUCCUUGGGGACACGAAAGCGGUGUGAGCGAGAAGCGAGUCACAGCGCGGCCGGCGCCGCGUUACCUUGGUGAUACGCCGUGAUGCGAGGAUGAGGGCUGCUGAUUGGACAGAGGUCGAGGGCGGGGUUUCCCGUCUGCUCCAGGUACUGGCUCACCUGGAAGGAAGCGCAGGGGGUUGUCGUGACGCGGCAGGUGGAGCAGUUGCCAUGGUUACAGCUGUACCUGCUCCCUGCAGGCGGUGCUGUGGCUGAAGAGGGCGAGUUCUCUGAUUGGCUCGUUGCCCUCGGUGAAGGAAAUGCUCAUCAUGACGAGCAGCUCAAAACCGAACUUGAGACAGAAUUGUGAGAGCUCCGCCUCCAGCU